GACGAACGCUGGCGGCGCGCUUAACACAUGCAAGUCGAACGGAAAGGCCUGCUUUCCCUUGUGGAUUGCGGGUACUCGAGUGGCGAACGGGUGAGUAACACGUGAGUGAUCUGCCCCCAACUUGGGUAUAAGCCUGGGAAACUGGGUCUAAUUCCCGAUAGGACUGCAGGGUGGUGCCUGUGGUGGAAAACGAUUUUCUAGUGGUUGGGGAUGAGCUCGCGGCCUAUCAGCUUGUUGGUGGGGUAAUGGCCUACCAAGGCGGCGACGGGUAGCCGGCCUGAGAGGGUGGACGGCCACAUUGGGACUGAGAUACGGCCCAGACUCCUACGGGAGGCAGCAGUGGGGAAGAUGGCACAAUGGGCGGAAGCCUGAUGCAGCGACGCCGCGUGGGGGAUGACGGCCUUCGGGUUGUAAGCUCCUUUCGACCGCGAGGAAGCCACCUGGUUGGAAGGGUGGUGACGGUAGUGGUAGAAGAAGCACCGGCUAACUACGUG
rnacentral:rRNA from 1 species